AGGGCAAUGUUUGAUGAAAAAGAAAUGGAAGAAGAAAGAAGACUUUGCUAUGUUGCUUUAACAAGAGCUGAAAAAAAACUAUAUUUAUCUCAUGCAAC
rfam:Fusobacterium nucleatum subsp. nucleatum ATCC 25586, complete genome.